rnacentral:tRNA from 1 species
UCACGGGGCUCGCGGCGUGGAAGGCCGCGGCGUUCCCGACGCCGCUCGCCUGGGGCGCGUCGUUCGACCCCGCGCUCGUGCGC